rnacentral:rRNA from 1 species
GCUAACAACCACAGUAAAUAGGGAAACACCCGGUAACAUUCCGAACCCGGAAGUUAAGCCAUUUUACGUUGUGCAAUACUGCCCUUGGGUGGGAAUGCACAAUGUUGUUAGUU